UAUUGCACAAUGGGGGGAACCCUGAUGCAGCGACGCCGCGUGAGUGAAGAAGUAUUUCGGUAUGUAAAGCUCUAUCAGCAGGGAAGAAAGAAAUGACGGUACCUGACUAAGAAGCCCCGGCUAACUACGUGCCAGCAGCCGCGGUAAUACGUAGGGGGCAAGCGUUAUCCGGAUUUACUGGGUGUAAAGGGAGCGUAGACGGCUGAGCAAGCCUGAAGUGAAAGGCGGGGGCCCAACCCCCGGACUGCUUUGGGAACUGUACGGCUGGAGUGCAGGAGAGGUAAGUGGAAUUCCUAGUGUAGCGGUGAAAUGCGUAGAUAUUAGGAGGAACACCAGUGGCGAAGGCGGCCUGCUGGACAGAAACUGACGUUGAGGCUCGAAAGCGUGGGGAGCAAACAGG
rnacentral:rRNA from 1 species